rnacentral:rRNA from 1 species
AAUGAACGUUGGCGGCGUGGAUUAGGCAUGCAAGUCGAGCGAGAACCCCGCAAGGGGGGACAGCGGCGAAAGGGACAGUAAUGUGUAGAUUAUCUGCCCUCAGGUCCGGGAUAGCUGCGGGAAACUGCAGGUAAUACCGGAUAACAUCUCCGGAUCAAAGGUGUGAUUCCGCCUGAGGAUGAGUCUGCAUCCUAUUAGCUAGUUGGUGGGGUAAUGGCCUACCAAGGCAUUGAUGGGUGGCAGGUGUGAGAGCACGACCUGCGUCAUUGGGACUGAGACACUGCCCAGACACCUACGGGUGGCUGCAGUCGAGAAUCUUCGGCAAUGGGCGCAAGCCUGACCGAGCGACGCCGCGUGUGGGAUGAAGGCCUUCGGGUUGUAAACCACUGUCAGAGGGGAUGAAAUGCAGGUGGGUUCUCCCAUCUGUUUGACAUAGCCUCAGAGGAAGGACGGGCUAAGUUCGUG